GCAGGGUUUUUUCGGUCUUUUCACUUCCCUAACUGAUCCUUAUCAGCUCAGCUCGACCCCUAGCUUGUUCUUAUCAGCUGGAAGCUUUGAGAAGCAGGGGGAGCUGCCUCUCUUUCUCUCUCUCUAGAGUUUUUCUCUCUCUACAAGGAAGCAAGGUUUUGGAGCUGAUUUCUUUCCCUCUCUUUGGUGUUUACUGAUUUGGAGAACUUGGAGCAGCUUUGGAGAGGAAGGGAAAUGAUCUUGGGAGAGGGUAUUCACAGCCUUAACUCAAUAGAAAUAGGGAUCAUAGCUGAGUAAGGUAAAGUACUCAACUUUCCCUUAAUUGAUGCUAUGGAAUAAAGAUGAGGUGAGUUCUUAAUCUCUUGUUUACAGCUGGUUGAGAGAAUGAUUUGGUAGAUAUUUAGGGUAUUUUAUAGUACCCUAACUCAGUUGGAGCUGAGUUAUGAGUUUGAGAAGAUCAACUAGUUACUUUCUUCCCUGUUGGAAUAUGGUAGGGUGUAUGUUGAUGCAGUUUUGGGAACUGUUUUGCAGCGAGGUCACCGCAGGAAGCUUGAUGAACCUUGCGCCUGGUUUUGACGGUAUUGGCAAUAAACUCUGAGGGUGAAUCAUGGAUCCUGAGCUAAAGAAAAGCUGAGGUGAUGAUGGGAAGGUGAUUAAAUGGCUACUUCCUCUAUUCUAAUGCUGAAAUAGUAAUAGUAGUAUUAGUAAUUGGUGCUGAAUUGGUGGUUAGUUCCAGCAGAAAAUGUGAACAUCUUAUCUGAACUUGGGAUGAUUUCUGAAGCUGGCUUGACCUAUGUUUACCUAUUUUAGAACUGAACUAAAGCCAUUGGAAGGUAUAUUACCCACUAGUUCUUUAAUUGAUUGGAUUAGCUGUAACUUUGGAACAGUUUUUAUACCAAUUCAGCAGGAGAUUAAGCCUCUUUGAGAUGAAUUAGUGACCAUUGAGAGCUGGAAUCGGGAUGCUUCAACUGAUGUUAAAGUAAAGGAUUAGCAUUAAGCUAAACCUAGGCUAUCUAAUCUUGUUCAGCUGAAAUUAGAGAGCUUUCUACGAUGGAAUUUGGUGUCCCAACCUGAAUCAAAAUUGAGAUUCAAGCUCUAGCACUAUAAUAGAUUACUUCUAUUAUGGGAGCAACAAAAGUUGACAGCAAACAGAGCCUUCCACAGCGGGAAAGGUUAGGGAUUCCUGGCGAGGGGUCAACGGCCAAAUAGAGCUUUCUCGACGUUAAAUAGAUGAACCACUACCAGUUUCUGUUAAUUUAGCUCAGUGUUGUACCUUGGGACUGUUACAGAAUGUUCUUUACUGUUUAAGUUGUAAUAAGAUUUCGAGCUGUAUAAGUUUACUUUAAUGUUAAGUCGUGCUCUGAUUACCUGGUUA